CCAUAACCAAUUUGACUUACAUCUCCUUUAAAUAGCAUCUUUUCUGGCAUGUGGUUUGUCACUCAACAUUUCUGGUAUGUGAUGAGAAUCUGGACGUUUGCUGUGGCAGCAGAAUCAAUGGGGGAAUCUCUGGCACCAUGUGAGCUCUUCCCUAGUCUUUCUACUCAUCUUCAUCUGAUGCUCUAGCCACUUCCUUUCCUCUCUGAAAGUUAGGUCUAUCUUUGGCCUCAACCACCCAAAUUCAAUGUACAAGGUUUGAGUAGGCUUGUGGGUGGCCAACAAAGUUAGAAAUUAUAAUAAGGAAAGCAGCAAUGUAUCCUUUUUUCAAAAUCCCAUCCAAGUGAUUACAAAGUCUAUGAAGCCAGGCAACAUGUACCCUUGAUCAAAUUAUCCCUGUGGCUCUAUUCCCUGUAUGUCAGAAAUAUUCCAAAGGAAGUCACUGAAUUAAAGUACAACAGCGGUUUGACCAACUUAGUGUAUUUCCCAAUCUGGAUUCAGAGGAAGUAGGAAAAUCUUAGAGCUGGAAGGCUCUGCUAUAAACAUAUUAAUGGUAUGCAGUUACAAAGGAACAAGUACUAAGAAUCACCAUGCAACCAAAACAACAAAAGAAGAACAUGAAGAAUGACAGACUAUUUACUUACGGACAAUACACUGAUUUCCACCAGACACAGACUUCACCCUCCCUAAGAUGUGGAACAUUUCACUAUCAGCUUCAGAUCUCUGCCAGAGAGCAGAAGGUUCCACCGCACCAGCAAUUAUAACAUGAGAACAGUAUCCUGGACUGGUUCACAGACCAAAAGUUCAGUGAGCCGCUUCCAGAAAGACUGGCUUCCAGAUGAAGCAAGGGAGGUCUGCAAAAACAAACAUUUUAAGACAGAUCUUACAAAAUGUAUUGGAAAAGGAAAGCAAUGGUAAAAGGAACACAGUUGAGAAACACUCACUCCUAUAGGCUGAUACUUCUGUGUAGGCCUGAAGCCAAGGGAAGGGAAUGCUCACUUGGACAGCAAAGGCCAUGGCUCCUCUCAGAGGUGGCCAAUCUGAGUCAGCCUGGCCCCAAAUCACGUAAGAUGGUCUGCCCACAAAGCACCCAGAGGGAACAGUAAUGACAGACUCAGCUUCUGAAGUUACCUGCAAAGAGAAGAAAAGGAAGAUGAGAUGAGAUGGUGAUGAUGAUGAUGAUGAUGAUGAUGAUGAUGGAGGAGGAAGAAAGGAAGAAGGAGGAGGAGGAUGAAGAAAAGAAGGAGAAACUGUUGAUGAUAAAGAAGAAAAAAGAGGAAGGAGGCAAAGGAGAAGAAACAGAAAAACAAAAGAAAACAAACCCUGUCUCUGGAAUACAUUCCCUUGAUUAACAGAGAUAUUCCUAUACUUCAGUUCAAAACCACGAACUUAACAGCAGACAUAAUGUGUCCAUAGGGCCCACAUAAAUCCUGUCUCCCAACACUAACAUCAUAAAAUGGUUGUACUA